AUUCGCCAGGCCGGUCUUCUUCCCUGGUUGGUUGUGCCUGGACCGAUUCUCUCGGCUGGGAAGUCGCCAGGGUCGUUCCCUUGCUCCCCGAGGGCCAUAAAUGCACAGACCUGGUCCACCACUUCGCCGUGUGCCGCAUCCUCCCCUUGCCACUCCUUGCUGCCGAGCCGUGCGCAGGGAAUAGGCUACCGCAUCCCGGACCCAACCUCCCACGCCGCUCCUUCCUGAAGCCAUCACCAAGAAAUCCAAUGCCACAGCCAGCGUCCUUCCCUCCCGUCGCCGAAUCGGUGGUCCGCUGUGGUGAGACGGCUUCCACGGGGUCUGGUUCUUGGACGCGCUCGCGGCGCCCUUCGUGUCGGUCCACGUCCGCUCGUGGCCACCGCCCUGGUUGAUCCCCGUCUGAACCUCCUGCUUGGCCUCCGUGACUGGUUCGGGUGAAGAUGGACACUGCGGAUGACGUUCGGUGAAAGCUUUAGGCACAGAUCUCGUUGGCCCUCGAUGUCGUGGCAGCACCAAUUACUCGCCUGGAGCUAUGGGGCUGGGAGAUCCGCCGCGGGAGUUCCACGCGCCGUGGUCACCUCUCACCGUCGUUUGGCGCUUCCGCACACCAUCAAGUCA
rnacentral:lncRNA from 7 species